rnacentral:rRNA from 1 species
GCGUAGGGUGCAAGCGUUAAUCGGAAUCACUGGGCGUAAAGCGUGCGCAGGCGGCUAGAAAAGAAAGAAGGGAAAUCACCGGGCUCAACACGGGAACUGCAUUUGAGACUGUACAGCUAGAGUAAGGCAGAGGGGGAUGGAAUUCCGCGUGUAGCAGUGAAAUGCGUAGAUAUGCGGAGGAACACCGAUGGCGAAGGCAAUCCCCUGGGCCUGUACUGACGCUCAUGCACGAAAGCGUGGGGAGCAAACAG